GGUGGUGGGUAGUGGUGAGUGGUGAUAGGUGGUGGGUGAUGAGUGGUAGGUGGCGAUGGUAGUGGUGGGUGACGGUGGAGGGUGGUGGUGGUAGGUAUUGAGUUUAAUCACAUGUGAUUAUAUGUAUUUAAUCAUAUGUGAUUCACUUGGAAAAGAUUUGUUUUAACGAAUCUUGUUUAUAUAAAUCAUAUCUGAUUAGAUACAUAUAAUCACACGUGAUUAUAUGUAUUUAAUCACAUAUGAUUUAUGUGAUUAAAUACAUAUAAAUAAUACAUAUAAUCACACAUGAUUUAUGUAAUGAUAUGUAUUUAAUCACAUAUAAUGUUAGUGGUUGUAGGUAGUGGGUGGUCGUCGUAUGGUAGCGAUGCUUGGUGGUGGUGGGAGUGUGGUGGUGUUGGGUGGGUAUAGUUGUGGCAGGUGGUGGUGGUGGGUGACGGUGGAGGGUGGUGGUGGUAGGUAUUGAGUUUAAUCACAUGUGAUUAUAUGUAUUUAAUCACAUGUGAUUUAUUUGGAAAAGAUUUGUUUUAACGAAUCUUGUUUAUAUAAAUCAUAUCUGAUUAGAUACAUAUAAUCACACGUGAUUAUAUGUAUUUAAUCACAUAUGAUUUAUGUGAUUAAAUACAUAUAAAUAAUACAUAUAAUCACACAUGAUUUAAGUAAUUAUAUGUAUUUAAUCACAUAUAAUAUUAGUGGUUGUAGGUAGUGGGUGGUGGUCGUAUGGUGGCGAUGCUUGGUGGUGGUGGGGGGGGGGUGGUAGGUAUUGAGUUUAAUCACAUGUGAUUAUAUGUAUUUAA
rnacentral:lncRNA from 1 species